AGUGAACGCUGGCGGCGUGCUUAACACAUGCAAGUCGAACGAGAACGGAAUAUAGCUUGCUAUAUUUGUCAGCUAAGUGGCGCACGGGUGAGUAAUGUAUAGAUAACCUGCCCUUAAGAAAGGAAUAACAGUUGGAAACGACUGCUAAUGCCCUAUAUGCCUUUAAUACAUAAGUAUGCAAGGGAAACGCUUUAGUGCUUAAGGAUGGGUCUGUAUGGUAUCAGCUUGUUGGUGAGGUAAUGGCUCACCAAGGCUAUGACGCCUAACUGGUUUGGGAUGAUGACCAGUCACACUGGAACUGAGACACGGUCCAGACUCCUACGGGAGGCAGCAGUGGGGAAUAUUGCACAAUGGACGAAAGUCUGAUGCAGCAACGCCGCGUGGAGGAUGACACAUUUCGGUGCGUAAACUCCUUUUAUAUAGGAAGAUAAUGACGGUACUAUAUGAAUAAGCACCGGCUAACUCCGUGCCAGCCGCCGCCGUAA
rnacentral:rRNA from 1 species